AUAAUGGGUCAGCGACUUAUAUUCUGUAGCAAGGUUAACCGAAUAGGGGAGCCGAAGGGAAACCGAGUCUUAACUGGGCGUUAAGUUGCAGGGUAUAGACCCGAAACCCGGUGAUCUAGCCAUGGGCAGGUUGAAGGUUGGGUAACACUAACUGGAGGACCGAACCGACUAAUGUUGAAAAAUUAGCGGAUGACUUGUGGCUGGGGGUGAAAGGCCAAUCAAACCGGGAGAUAGCUGGUUCUCCCCGAAAGCUAUUUAGGUAGCGCCUCGUGAAUUCAUCUCCGGGGGUAGAGCACUGUUUCGGCAAGGGGGUCAUCCCGACUUACCAACCCGAUGCAAACUGCGAAUACCGGAGAAUGUUAUCACGGGAGACACACGGCGGGUGCUAACGUCCGUCGUGAAGAGGGAAACAACCCAGACCGCCAGCUAAGGUCCCAAAGUCAUGGUUAAGUGGGAAACGAUGUGGGAAGGCCCAGACAGCCAGGAUGUUGGCUUAGAAGCAGCCAUCAUUUAAAGAAAGCGUAAUAGCUCACUGGUCGAGUCGGCCUGCGCGGAAGAUGUAACGGGGCUAAACCAUGCACCGAAGCUGCGGCAGCGACGCUGAUGCGUUGUUGGGUAGGGGAGCGUUCUGUAAGCCUGUGAAGGUGU
rnacentral:rRNA from 1 species